rnacentral:rRNA from 1 species
AGUGAACGCUGGCGGUAGGCCUAACACAUGCAAGUCGAACGGCAGCACAGUAAGAGCUUGCUCUUACGGGUGGCGAGUGGCGGACGGGUGAGGAAUACAUCGGAAUCUACUUUUUCGUGGGGGAUAACGUAGGGAAACUUACGCUAAUACCGCAUACGACCUACGGGUGAAAGCAGGGGAUCUUCGGACCUUGCGCGAUUGAAUGAGCCGAUGUCGGAUUAGCUAGUUGGCGGGGUAAAGGCCUACCAAGGCGACGAUCCGUAGCUGGUCUGAGAGGAUGAUCAGCCACACUGGAACUGAGACACGGUCCAGACUCCUACGGGAGGCAGCAGUGGGGAAUAUUGGACAAUGGGCGCAAGCCUGAUCCAGCCAUACCGCGUGGGUGAAGAAGGCCUUCGGGUUGUAAAGCCCUUUUGUUGGGAAAGAAAAGCAGCAGGUUAAUACCCCGCUGUUCCGACGGUACCCAAAGAAUAAGCACCGGCUAACUUCGUG